ACCCCCCGGCAAUGGGCAAAGAGACACCUUGUCGACAGUGUUCUUCUAUCAGUCAGGGACAGAGCAAAUGGCAGUCUUUUGAUUAUCCUAGCUUGAUGCCUAGCUUGAUGGCCAAAGCUGUUUCAUGCCUAGGACUCAUAA